AUGAAUUUCUUGCUGAUUUGCAUUGAAGAUAAAAUUUUAUAGUUUUUACAAUUAGUUGGAUAAAGUUUGGUUUUGACAGUUUUGAGGGAGUUGGGGCUUAAUUUAGUCUAUUCAAGUUUGUUAUUAUCUAUUAUGAUUGUUGGGUGCUUGUACACUGGUUAUUGAACAUUCAAACAAGGGAGAGAAAGGGGCUAUAAAACAGCGCCCUCAAGGUGUUCGAUAAAAGUUCUGAGAGUAGGAAAAGUUGAUUUUUGAGCAAGUUAG
rnacentral:lncRNA from 1 species